rnacentral:rRNA from 1 species
UUCCGGUUGAUCCCGCCGGACCUGACUGCUAUCGGAUUGAUACUAAGCCAUGCGAGUCUUUGUAGUAAUACAAGGCAGACCGGCCCAGUAACACGUAGUCAAUCUACCCUAUGGACAGGGAUAACCUCGGGAAACUGAGAAUAAUACCUGAUAGAUCAUUAUGCCUGGAAUGGUUUAUGGUCGAAAUGAUUUAUCGCCGUAGGAUGGGACUGCGGUCUAUCAGCUUGUUGGUGAGGUAAUGGCCCACCAAGGCUAUAACAGAUACGGGCUCUGGGAGGAGAAGCCCGGAGAUGGGUACUGAGACACGGACCCAGGCCCUAUGGGGCGCAGCAGGCGAGAAAACUUUGCAAUGUGCGAAAGCACGACAAGGUUAAUCCGAGUGUUUUCUGCUAGAGAAAUCUUUUGUCAGUCCUAAAAACACUGAUGAAUAAGGGGUGGGCAAGUUCUGGUGUCAGCCGCCGCGGUAAAACCAGCACCUCAAGUGGUCAGGAGGAUUAUUGGGCCUAAAGCAUCCGUAGCCGGCUCUGUAAGUUUUCGGUUAAAUCUAUACGCUCAACGUAUAGGCUGCCGGGAAUACUGCAAAGCUAGGGAGUGGGAGAGGUAGACGGUACUCGGUAGGAAGGGGUAAAAUCCUUUGAUCUAUUGAUGACCACCUGUGGCGAAGGCGGUCUACUAGAACACGUCCGACGGUGGGGGAUGAAAGCUGGGGGAGCAAACCGGAUUAGAUACCCGGGUAGUCCCAGCUGUAAACUAUGCAAACUCAGUGAUGCACUGGCUUGUGGCCAGUGCAGUGCCGCAGGGAAGCCGUUAAGUUUGCCGCCUGGGAAGUACGUACGCAAGUAUGAAACUUAAAGGAAUUGGCGGGGGAGCACCACAAGGGGUGAAGCCUUCGGUUCAAUUGGAUUCAACGCCGGG